CGUACACUCCUGCGGGAGGCAGCAGUGGGGAAUAUUGGACAAUGGGCGCAAGCCUGAUCCAGCCAUGCCGCGUGAGUGAUGAAGGCCCUAGGGUUGUAAAGCUCUUUCACCGGUGAAGAUAAUGACGGUAACCGGAGAAGAAGCCCCGGCUAACUUCGUGCCAGCAGCCGCGGUAAUACGAAGGGGGCUAGCGUUGUUCGGAUUUACUGGGCGUAAAGCGCACGUAGGCGGACUAUUAAGUCAGGGGUGAAAUCCCGGGGCUCAACCCCGGAACUGCCUUUGAUACUGGUAGUCUUGAGUUCGAUAGAGGUGAGUGGAAUUCCGAGUGUAGAGGUGAAAUUCGUAGAUAUUCGGAGGAACACCAGUGGCGAAGGCGGCUCACUGGCUCGAUACUGACGCUGUGGUGCGAAAGCGUGGGGAGCAAACAGGAUUAGAAGCCCGAGUAGUCCCAUGAU
rnacentral:rRNA from 1 species